AACGCGAAGAACCUUACCUGGGCUUGAACCGCUACUGACCAACGGUAGAAAUAUCGUCUUCCCGCAAGGGACAGUAGUAGAGGUGCUGCAUGGCUGUCGUCAGCUCGUGCCGUGAGGUGUUGGGUUAAGUCCCGCAACGAGCGCAACCCUUACUCGUAGUUGCUACCCGCAAGGGAGAACUCUACGAGGACUGCUCCGGAUAACGGAGAGGAAGGUGGGGAUGACGUCAAGUCAGCACGGCCUUUAUGUCCAGGGCUACACACGUGUUACAAUGCACGGUACAGACUGUUGCGAACCCGCGAGGGGGAGCUAAUCGGAUAAAACCGUGCUCAGUUCGGAUUGCAGUCUGCAACUCGGCUGCAUGAAGCUGGAAUCGCUAGUAAUGGCGUAUCAGAUCGACGCCGUGAAUACGUUCCCGGGCCUUGUACACACCGUAGUAC
rnacentral:rRNA from 1 species